AUCACUGAUGACUUCAUAAUGAGCCUACUCUUAUACUAAGGUCAGACCCACUGCCUACCCCAAUAAAGUCCCAGACAAUGCUAUUACCCAAGAUCCUCUGACUGGAAAUAUCAGGCCUUGAACCAGGGGUUUUCUGAAUGUACAGCAUGUGUUUUACCACUGAGCACAGCACUUUUCCAUCUGCUGUAAUAGUAUGAGCUUAGUCAGCAAGAAUACGUAUGUACAAAAAAUGAGAAGUGCCUUCCAGCAUCAGACCAACAUUAAUCUCGUCUAGCAUCCUUGAAAGAAUCCCAGGAACCAUGUAGGGGACCAUAGCCUAACAUCUGCACAGCUGUUUCUGCUGCUGUCUGGAGCCCAGAGCAGUGAACAAGGAGAAAAGUGCAAUCCCAUACAUCUCAUUUAUGCCAGAACCAGAAUACAUCUCUGCUUGAGGGCUUCCCAAGAGGCCCCUGGUGAACAGGAUGCUGAACUAGGUGGACUUUUUUGCUCUGAUCCAGCAACGUUACAGGGGU